rnacentral:rRNA from 1 species
AGAGUUGUUCUGGCUCAGGAUGAACGCUGGCGGCGUGCCUAACACAUGCAAGUCGAGCGAUCUCUCGGAGAAGAGCGGCGGACGGGUGGAGUAACGCGUGGGUAACCUGCCUCAUACACAUGGAUAACAUACCGAAAGGUAUGCUAAUACAGGAUAACAUAAGAGAUUCACAUGGAUUUUUUAUCAAAGCUCCGGCGGUAUGAGAUGGACCCGCGUCUGAUUAGCUAGUUGGUAAGGUAACGGCUUACCAAGGCGACGAUCAGUAGCCGACCUGAGAGGGUGAUCGGCCACAUUGGAACUGAGACACGGUCCAAACUCCUACGGGAGGCAGCAGUGGGGAAUAUUGCACAAUGGGCGAAAGCCUGAUGCAGCAACGCCGCGUGAGUGAUGAAGGCCUUCGGGUCGUAAAACUCUGUCCUCAAGGAAGAUAAUGACGGUACUUGAGGAGGAAGCCCCGGCUAACUACGUGCCAGCCGCCGC